rnacentral:rRNA from 1 species
GACGAACACUGGCGGCGUGCCUAAUACAUGCAAGUAGAACGCUGAAGAGAGGAGCUUGCUCUUCUUGGAGGAGUUGCGAACGGGUGAGUAACGCGUAGGUAACCUGCCUUGUAGCGGGGGAUAACUAUUGGAAACGAUAGCUAAUACCGCAUAACAAUGGAUGACUCAUGUCAUUUAUUUGAAAGGGGCAAAUGCUCCACUACAAGAUGGACCUGCGUUGUAUUAGCUAGUAGGUGAGGUAACGGCUCACCUAGGCGACGAUACAUAGCCGACCUGAGAGGGUGAUCAGCCACACUGGGACUGAGACACGGCCCAGACUCCUACGGGAGGCAGCAGUAGGGAAUCUUCGGCAAUGGGGGCAACCCUGACCGAGCAACGCCGCGUGAGUGAAGAAGGUUUUCGGAUCGUAAAGCUCUGUUGUAAGUCAAGAACGAGUGUGAGAGUGGAAAGUUCACACUGUGACGGUAGCUUACCAGAAAGGGACGGCUAACUACGUGCCAGCAGCCGCGGCAAUACGUAGGUCCCGAGCGUUGUCCGGAUUUAUUGGGCGUAAAGCGAGCGCAGGCGGUUUGAUAAGUCUGAAGUUAAAGGCUGUGGCUCAACCAUAGUUCGCUUUGGAAACUGUCAAACUUGAGUGCAGAAGGGGAGAGUGGAAUUCCAUGUGUAGCGGUGAAAUGCGUAGAUAUAUGGAGGAACACCGGUGGCGAAAGCGGCUCUCUGGUCUGUAACUGACGCUGAGGCUCGAAAGCGUGGGGAGCGAACAGG